CGUAGCCUCUGAAGAGUUUUGGGAAGUAUUAUAUCCGUGUAGAAGUUGGUGUUGUCAAGGCCUUGGACCUAGCUGGCUAAAGCUACCUUAGUACCAAGAAAGAUCUUCAUAGCAGAUUUUACAUCCCAGUGAUUUGAGAAGUUGCAUUCAAAACAAGGGACAUACGCUCCUCCCAGAACAGAAUUUUUGUCUAUGGUGUUUUAAGAAAAAACAACCAGUUGCUCCAUCUGUCAGUAAACCUCUUCCAAGAAGAAGGAAAUAUCAACACAACACAAAAUGUGAUUGCCCUUUGAAAGCAAAAAAUACCAGGCAGUGUAACCUUUAGAUGCAGCACAUAAUGGGAGACAAUCAUCUGACAAAAAACAGAAGAGAGUUUGCAACUCUGACAUUUAUUUCCCCGUGAUUUAAACCUUGCCCUGCUGGAACCACCUGAUGAUAGCAAAUUUCAGUCCUCUGGGUCACCUGCUCUACUGGGAUGGAGAAGCUAUCCGUAUUUUUGCAUGUAACACCAUCAGAGGUCCCUGACAUUUAAAUACAGACGACUCAUGAGGAUCCAGCCUUGGAGGAUGACCUUGUUGAACGCAGGUGGGAAUGGUGAGGACUUGCACCACUCCAAUGCUUUACUGAGUUUCAGUGGGAAAGUGGGAAGAAACAGUGAUGGGACUCUCAGUAAGGCCACAUAUGCAAGGUGCAGUCGAGACACCAGGUUGGGUUCUUUAGAACUGGCUCAGGAAAGGGAGCUUGCUGGCAUGCACUGUGCUCCCGCUGGUGUGCUCUAGAAAGUAUCUGGCCAUCAGGAGAGUUUCUCCUGAGCAGCAGAUGAUGUGAUGGAAAAAAUAACAACUAGUGUUUUCAAUGGAGUGAAAAAGGCAAAGUGUGGUGGCAAUAAAAUAAAACCUUUGAACUCUGUAAUCGUGAAGCAAGCUACAUUUUUCACCGUGAGCAAAGAGCACAGCUCAAGGUUCACUUUGAAGCUAACUUCUCCCUUCUUUUCUUUUUUUUUCCCUUCCUUCCUUUUAACCUAGCUUAAACUUCAGGCUCACAGUAUCUGACAGUGUUUUUCUAAAUAAUGAAAGAGAGCCAUGCUAUCCAAGGCACUCCUGACGGGCAGUGUGAAGACAGACCUUCCUUCACACUGUGGCUUUUCUACCUAAACAGAUGGAAGUUCCCCUCCCUCCCACUGCUUUCCAGCACUCCUUACAUCCUGCCCCCACAGGGAGCAGCUGAAUCCUGGCUUUUUACCAAGCUGGCCAAGGGCCGGAGGUGCUGUGCUGCCCUUCCUCUUCCAACCAUGGUGCCUGACUGCUUGUGCAGGCUGCCAGCCCUACAUCCCAGGUCUGUUUUGCUGCGAGGAGGGAUUGAGAAUCAAUGGCAGCAAGGAACAGAAUGGCAGCAAAACAGGGGGCAAAAGAAGAGGAUCCAUACUGGAAGGGAGGUGGGAUGGAACUGGGACUUGUUCCUGGGAAGAUUCUUUUCUUCCUUAGAUCAGACAGCAUCUGCUUCUUUAUUUUCUCUACCCUCAGCGUGAUGCUUCUGGUUUACAUGAGGUUCUCCUCAUUUAUUUGGGCUGUGGUAGCACAUAGAGGCUGAGCCUGGGGAUGGGAUGCUUCUGUGCAAGGUGCCUCCUCACCCUACCCCCAGUACUAGCCCUGAGCAUGAGUUUGUUAUAAUUGUGGCACAUCCAGUGAUGGCUUUGCCUAAAAUUGCUCAUCUUGCUCGCUCAGCACAUCUGCACUUUGACAUAGUUUUAAUUACUGAUACAAUUGGUGGCUUUAUUUCAAACGUGGGUAAUUUCAUUACCAGUUUUUAUACACCUUUUUAGUUCUUUGCCCAUGAGUUUCUCAAAGCAAAAUCAAAUGAAUCACUGACAUCAUCACUGUUCUUUCCUGAAAAUGGUUAUAAGGGAUGUGGCUUAAAACCUCCGGAGAUAUCAAGUAUGAUUUCAGUAGAUGUUUUUCUUAGAACAUACUGUACUACAACAUUAUCCACCUAUCACACAACAGCCAUAACAAUCUUCCAAAAAAUAUAUAUUUUUAAGUAUGUACCCAUUUUUUUCCAUUGCUAAAUUGUUAGGGCUCAAAAUAUUCAUCACUCUGGGUGCAAAAAUUCAGAUAUACAUUUUUUUCCCCCACUGGCAGUGGGCUUCUCAUACCGAGUGCUCAUCUUUCAUUCUUAAAACAUUGAUUUCUUUUUGAGCAAUUGAAAACCACGUAGAUCUCCUAUGUAAAAAGGAAAAGACUAAAGCUGUUGUUGCAAUGGAUGGAGACAGAACGGGAGACCUUCUGAUGUGCACAGGCACAUCUUAGCACAGCACCACGCCAAACAAGUUAAUGGGCAACGUAUACAGUUCAUCCUAUGUCCAUAGUUGCUUUGAUAGCAUUUUGUGGAUAAGUGGAUUCUUAUAUUUUCUAUAAAUGGAUUCUUAUAUUUUCUAUAGAAGCAUUUUCUUGACAUAGCAAAAUUUCAUAGGUAAGUGAUGCUCCGUAAACACAUUUUACAUUGGCAUCUUACAGAGAAGCAGUGUUACAACUAAGGCAGCGGCCUUGACUCACAGGGUUAUGUGAGUGCAGUGGAAAAAAAGUUUGAAUCGUGGAAUCACAGAACAGUUUGGGUUGGAAGGGACCUCAAAGCCCUCCCAGCUCCAACCCCGUGCCAUGGGCAGGGCUGCCACCCAGCAGCUCAGCUGCCCAGGGCCGCAUCCAACCUGGCUUUGAGCACCUCCAGGGAUGGGGCACCACAGCUUCUCUGGGCAGCUGUGCCAGGGCCUCACCGUCCUGUGAGUAAAGAAUUCCCCCCCUUUAGAACUUUUGAUUUUUUUUUUUUUUAAUUAUUAUUCCCAACAAACAAUCAGUGGGAAUGCUGCAAAUUCCCGAGCUUCGUUUCUAAUGGUAAUCACCAACUUUCCUUAACAUUUCUCCUUGAAGAAGUUUCUUUUGCACGCAGCCAAAGUGACGCUCUCCCCGGAGCUGGGUGCUCGGGGCCAUUUGGCUCCACAGCGUGCUGGCACGCAGUGAAGUUUUGAUUCCGGCUGUUUUAAUUAAAGCCUAUUUCCAUAGGAUUACUCCAGCGUGGAUCAGCUCCACGGUUCUGUUUGUUUUAAUAAACUCUCAGAGCUCUCCUCCUUCUAGAGAGAGAUUGUGCUGCAAACAAGGCAGCCCUGCGGUUCGUAGCAGAAACAUGGAAAUGCUGCCGUAAAAGAUGAAAAAAAAAGAAAAAAAAAAAAGCUUUGAUGGAAUUCAUUACAAUCUAUGGACGAACAGAAACAACCUACAGCUCUAAGGCAGAUGGGCCGGCACAGGUGGGCAUGCAGCGGAGCGGGACGCCGGUACGUACCUGCAGGCAGCGCGGUGCCACGUCUCCCGGCCCGCUCGCUCCGCGGGACCUUUAUAGCGCUUUCCGGGGGCUAAAAAUAAACUUUAGGGGACGGCUAAGAGCUCGGGAGGGGGCGGCCGCGGGCUCUUACAGCGAUGCUCGAGCCACGCUCCGGCUCGGGGCCGGAGCUGCGCGGCUUCUGGGCGGUGUCGGCUGUCCUCCACCCCCCG
ensembl:lncRNA